rnacentral:rRNA from 1 species
AUUGAACGCUGGCGGAAUGCUUUACACAUGCAAGUCGAGCGGCAGCGCGGGGGCAACCCUGGCGGCGAGCGGCGAACGGGUGAGUAAUAUAUCGGAACGUACCCCGUCGUGGGGGAUAACACAGCGAAAGCUGUGCUAAUACCGCAUACGACCUGAGGGUGAAAGCGGGGGAUCGCAAGACCUCGCGCGAUGGGAGCGGCCGAUAUCGGAUUAGCUUGUUGGUGAGGUAAAGGCUCACCAAGGCGACGAUCCGUAGCUGGUCUGAGAGGACGACCAGCCACACUGGAACUGAGACACGGUCCAGACUCCUACGGGAGGCAGCAGUGGGGAAUUUUGGACAAUGGGGGCAACCCUGAUCCAGCCAUUCCGCGUGAGCGAUGAAGUAUUUCGGUAUGUAAAGCCCUAUCAGCAGGGAAGAAAAUGACGGUACCUGACUAAGAAGCCCCCGGCUAACUACGUGCCAGCAGCCGCGGUAAU